rnacentral:siRNA from 1 species
AAGAAACUUGUAAGGUCCCUGCAA